rnacentral:lncRNA from 1 species
UAUGAUGUAUUAAACACAUCUCCAUGGAUAACUGGUUGGCAACAGCUCAAUGAUCCCCUUUAUAUCUGACCUCUCCAAAAUGACCUUUAGAGCAUCUUCUUUAUUGAACACGCAUUGAGGGACCAUGCCUACACAGGGAAUAUCCCUACCCUAAUCUCUCUACAAUCAAUAGAAAAGUAACUCCUUUGAUAGUGCAGCCCACAUCACCUGAUCUCCAGGCUAAAACUAUUGAACUCCCUCACCA